CAGUCGCCAGGGAAUACGUAGGGUGCAAGCGUUAAUCGGAAUUACUGGGCGCAAAGCGUGCGCAGGCGGUUCGUUAAGACAGAUGUGAAAUCCCCGGGCUUAACCUGGGAACUGCAUUUGUGACUGGCGGGCUAGAGUAUGGCAGAGGGGGGUAGAAUUCCACGUGUAGCAGUGAAAUGCGUAGAGAUGUGGAGGAAUACCGAUGGCGAAGGCAGCCCCCUGGGCCAAUACUGACGCUCAUGCACGAAAGCGUGGGGAGCAAACAGGAUUAGAGACCCCAGUAGUCCCUGUCUCUUAUACA
rnacentral:rRNA from 1 species